rnacentral:misc_RNA from 1 species
UUCGUAUUUCCGCCGGCUGGAAUCCAGACACUCGGCCGUAGUACAGCGUGCAGCUGCGCGGUCGGAAUUCUUCGCAUAAAUUGUGCAUGUGUGCACGUUCGUGAAAGAGCGUGGGCGGUUGGAAGCUGAAUUGGUGGGGUUGCAGACCCCUGGCGAACCUCGUGGUGUGCCGCGUGUCCGUGCGCACAGCGCAGCGUGGAUAAAUAAUCGCGGAAAUCUCGGUGCAGAUAUAGCUAGACGGUGUGGUGAGUGAGACGUAAAUGGAGAUUCAACCUGAUUCCGCAUCGAUUUCUAUCUGACGCGGGUAUCAGUUCUCCAGCGACGUCGCCGGGCCAGCUGUGCGAACCGCGUUUUCGCAUUUUGUCAUAAGCACGGAGAAUAGAGGGAGGAGAAGGAGAAGAUUGGCAAUGAAGACGGUCGAGAAUGUAUGGUUGCAGUGGGAAAAAAGAAGGAAAAUGGACGAUACUUCAUUUCCGCUGCAAGG